ACGGUGACAUCACGUUAAAAAACCGGUUCCCGUACGAACACCGAAGUUAAGCAAUGUCGAGCUUGUAGUACUAAUAUCAAUAUCUAGAUAGGUGAUCGCUUGGGAAUACCAGGC